rnacentral:rRNA from 1 species
CCUACGGGAGGCAGCAGUGGGGAAUAUUGGACAAUGGGGGCAACCCUGAUCCAGCCAUGUCGCGUGUGUGAAGAAGGCCCUCGGGUUGUAAAGCACUUUCAGUGAGGAAGAACGCCUGGUGGUUAAUACCCAUCAGGAAAGACAUCACUCACAGAAGAAGCACCGGCUAACUCCGUGCCAGCAGCCGCGGUAAUACGGAGGGUGCGAGCGUUAAUCGGAAUUACUGGGCGUAAAGCGCGCGUAGGUGGCUUGAUAAGCCGGUUGUGAAAGCCCCGGGCUCAACCUGGGAACGGCAUCCGGAACUGUCAAGCUAGAGUGCAGGAGAGGAAGGUAGAAUUCCCGGUGUAGCGGUGAAAUGCGUAGAGAUCGGGAGGAAUACCAGUGGCGAAGGCGGCCUUCUGGACUGACACUGACACUGAGGUGCGAAAGCGUGGGUAGCAAACAGGAUUAGAUACCCUUGUAGUC